rnacentral:rRNA from 1 species
UGGGGGAUAUUGCACAAUGGGCGAAAGCCUGAUGCAGCGACGCCGCGUGGGGGAUGAAGGCCUUCGGGUUGUAAACUUCUUUUGCUCUGAACAAGGCAUGCCUUUGGGGUGUGUUGAGUGUAGGGGUUGAUUAGCGCCGGCUAACUACGUGCCAGCAGCCGCGGUAAUACGUAGGGCGCGAGCGUUGUCCGGAAUUAUUGGGCGUAAAGGGCUGGUAGGUGGCUGGUUGCGUCUGUCGUGAAAGCUCAUGGCUUAACUGUGGGUUUGCGGUGGGUACGGGCUGGCUUGAGUGCAGUAGGGGAGGCUGGAAUUCCUGGUGUAGCGGUGGAAUGCGCAGAUAUCAGGAGGAAUACCGGUGGCGAAGGCGGGUCUCUGGGCUGUUACUGACGCUGAGGAGCGAAAGCGUGGGGAGCGAACAGG